UAUAGAGGAUGCAAACGUUAUCCAAAAUGGUUGGGCGUAAAGCGUCUGUAGGUGGCUUUUUAAGUCCGCCGUCAAAUCCCAAGGCUCAACCCCGGACAGGCGGUGGAAACUACCAAGCUGGAGUACGGUAGGGGCAGAGGGAAUUUCCGGUGGAGCGGUGAAAUGCGUAGAGAUCGGAAAGAACACCAAUGGAGAAAGCACUCUGCUGGGCCGACACUGACACUGAGAGACAAAAGCUAGGGGAGCGAAUGGG
rnacentral:rRNA from 1 species